rnacentral:rRNA from 1 species
AUUGAACGCUGGCGGCAGGCCUAACACAUGCAAGUCGAGCGGAGCGGCGGACGGGUGAGUAUUGCCUAGGAAUCUGCCUGGUAGUGGGGGAUAACGUUUGGUAACGGGCGCUAAUACCGCAUACUCUCAGAUGAGCAUAGGUCGGUUUAGCUAGUUGGUGGGGUAAAGGCCUACCAAGGCGACGAUCCGUAACUGGUAUGAGAGGAUGAUCAUUCACACUGGAACUGAGACACGGUCCAGACGCCUACGGGAGGCAGCAGUGGGGAAUAUUGGACAAUGGGCGAAAGCCUGAUGCAGCCAAGCCGCGUGUGUGAAGAAGGUCUUCGGAUUGUAAAGCACUAUAAGUUGGGAGGCGUUACCAACAGAAUAAGCACCGGCUAACUUCGUGCCAGCAGCCGCGGUAAUAC